UGCCAGACUCCUACGGGAGGCAGCAGUAGGGAAUCUUUCACAAUGGGCGAAAGCCUGAUGCAGCGACGCCGCGUGAGCGAUGAAGUAUUUCGGUAUGUAAAGCUCUAUCAGCAGGGAAGAAGAAGGACGGUACCUGAGUAAGAAGCCCCGGCUAACUACGUGCCAGCAGCCGCGGUAAUACGUAGGGGGCAAGCGUUAUCCGGAUUUACUGGGUGUAAAGGGAGCGUAGACGGCGAAGAAAGUCUGAAGUGAAAGCCCGCGGCUCAACCGCGGAAUGGCUUUGGAAACUUUUUUGCUGGAGUACCGGAGAGGUAAGCGGAAUUCCUAGUGUAGCGGUGAAAUGCGUAGAUAUUAGGAGGAACACCAGUGGCGAAGGCGGCUUACUGGACGGUAACUGACGUUGAGGCUCGAAAGCGUGGGGAGCAAACAGGAUUAGAUACCCCAGUAC
rnacentral:rRNA from 1 species